UUUACUCUAGGAAGUAAUAUUUUUUAUCCUAAUCUACGAAUUUAACGUUAUCUUUCCAUCGUUCAUCCUUUCUUCUCCAACACCCGUCGCUCUCUUCUCCAACUCGAAGAUGUCGGCCGCCACCGCCCUGCUUCAUCGAGGCCCAAGACCCAAUCUCCGUUUUUGAUAAAGAAACCAAACAGCAACCUAGCAGUCUUCCUUCACUUCUCUGCUCCCGACCUCGUAGCGAAUCAGAUCGGGGGGCUAGGGUUCCGGUGCGCCUCUACAGCCGGACGCGAGGCUAGGCUGGGCAUGGAGGGAAUCGUCACGGCCUGAAAGAGGUCCUGGCCGGAGACGACGAACGGGGCUGCAGCCGCCGGGAAGCGCUACAAAGUUUGGACGCCUCUCUGGCCGGUGGCAUAAUCGACAAGGGUGGGGUCAACACUAAGCAGAGUUACAAGCGUCAAGCUAUCCAUCCGCGACCACGAGUCUAACCACAACCUAAAGAACAUCGAGCUGGAAGGCAAUUUUGACCAGAUCAAGCAAGCCAGCGACUUGUUGCGUGAUCUCAUCGCAACCAUCAGCGCAAGCAUGCCAGCGAAAAAUCCAUCUUCUGCUGUGGCGCCAGCAGGAGGAGGCCGAGGCAGUGGUCCGGGGGGCACGAGCAGCAACUACAAGACGAAGCUGUGCGAGAACUUCUUGAAGCUAUGCGAGAACUUCCAACACGACUAUGUAUGAGAUAUUAUCUCUUAUUAUGACUGGAUGAGAUGUGUCUUAUGGCUAUAGAUGAGACUUUUGUGGUGUAAUUGAUGAGACUAUAGAUUUAAAUAUUGUUAUGUGAUUGUGUGUGAGAUGUUUUAUGUGAAAAUAUGUUGUGAUAU